AAAUUGAAGAGUUUGAUCAUGGCUCAGAUUGAACGCUGGCGGCAGGCCUAACACAUGCAAGUCGAACGGUAACAGGAAACAGCUUGCUGUUUCGCUGACGAGUGGCGGACGGGUGAGUAAUGUCUGGGAAACUGCCCGAUGGAGGGGGAUAACUACUGGAAACGGUAGCUAAUACCGCAUAACGUCGCAAGACCAAAGAGGGGGACCUUCGGGCCUCUUGCCAUCGGAUGUGCCCAGAUGGGAUUAGCUAGUAGGUGGGGUAAAGGCUCACCUAGGCGACGAUCCCUAGCUGGUCUGAGAGGAUGACCAGCCACACUGGAACUGAGACACGGUCCAGACUCCUACGGGAGGCAGCAGUGGGGAAUAUUGCACAAUGGGCGCAAGCCUGAUGCAGCCAUGCCGCGUGUAUGAAGAAGGCCUUCGGGUUGUAAAGUACUUUCAGCGG
rnacentral:rRNA from 1 species